GCCUUAGUAGUAUAAAAAUUACAUUGGUCUUGUAAGCCAAAAACGAAGAACUACUCUUCCUAAGACA
rnacentral:tRNA from 1 species